rnacentral:rRNA from 1 species
AUUAGAUACCCCAGUAGUCCUAGCCGUAAACGAUGGAUACUAGGCGUUGAGAGUAUCGACCCUCUCAGUGCCGUAGCUAACGCGUUAAGUAUCCCGCCUGGGGAGUACGCACGCAAGUGUGAAACUCAAAGGAAUUGACGGGGGCCCGCACAAGCGGUGGAGUAUGUGGUUUAAUUCGAUGCAACGCGAAGAACCUUACCAGGGCUUGACAUGUCUGGAAUCUUGGGGAAACUCAAGAGUGCCUUCUGGGAGCCAGAACACAGGUGGUGCAUGGCUGUCGUCAGCUCGUGUCGUG